rnacentral:rRNA from 1 species
AACGAACGCUGGCGGCAUGCCUAACACAUGCAGGUCGAACGAGACCUUCGGGUCUAGUGGCGCACGGGUGCGUAACGCGUGGGAACCUGCCCUUAGGUUCGGAAUAACUCCCCGAAAGGGGUGCUAAUACCGGAUAAUGUCUUCGGACCAAAGAUUUAUCGCCUUUGGAUGGGCCCGCGUUGGAUUAGCUAGUUGGUAGGGUAAAAGCCUACCAAGGCGACGAUCCAUAGCUGGUCUGAGAGGAUGAUCAGCCACACUGGGACUGAGGCACGGCCCAGACUCCUACGGGAGGCAGCAGUGGGGAAUAUUGGACAAUGGGCGAAAGCCUGAUCCAGCAAUGCCACGUGAGUGAUGAAGGCCUUAGGGUUGUAAAGCUCUUUUACCCGGGAUGAUAAUGACAGUACCGGGAGAAUAAGCGCCGGCUAACUCCGUG